UUUUGAUAACCAUGCCAAGGUUAUUUUAUGCCUUUGAGAGUGUCUCUCUGUAUCGUAGUGUUGCCACUGUAUCAACUAUAUUUGAUUGCAAUAGUUGCAAUUGCAUUUAAAAACAUUGGUCUGUGCUACAUAUUGUUUUGAUUCUCACAUCAAGCAUAGUUGAGACUUGAGACUUUAGACUAGACAAUUUCCCUCAAAACUUGAGUUUUUGAAAUUGUACAAAUAUUUUAUGUGAACCCUUCAUGUAUAUAUUCCACUCAGCAUACUCUUUUUUUUGUCACCCUAGAUUUGGUUGGUACAAGAUGUGGCGAUAAAACAACACCAAUUUCAGUAAGCAGGAAACUUAAGGUACUCUUCAUCUUAGAAUUCAAUACCGGC
rnacentral:lncRNA from 1 species